CGUGUGAACCUGUCAUAAUCGCUUGUUCUUCUUGUUAGCACUCGAAAACGGUUGACGUGCCUGGUCUAUCUACCGCGUGGAUCGCAAGCUCUGCACCAUCUGACGUCAUCAACCCACCAGACACCUGACUCUUGCACGUGCUGAGCUGGCAUCGUUCAACGAGGGUCCAGCGCCGACCAAUCAAGGCAUCACACGAAGAACUGGAAACUGUAAAACCGAGCGUUCCCCCACGAUCGGCUGCAGUCCGGCGGAGCGUGUGAACCUGUCAUAAUCGCUUGUUCUUCUUGUUAGCACUCGAAAACGGUUGACGUGCCUGGUCUAUCUACCGCGUGGAUCGCAAGCUCUGCACCAUCUGACGUCAUCAACCCACCAGACACCUGACUCUUGCACGUGCUGAGCUGGCAUCGUUCAACGAGGGUCCAGCGCCGACCAAUCAAGGCAUCACACGAAGAACUGGAAACUGUAAAACCGAGCGUUCCCCCACGAUCGGCUGCAGUCCGGCGGAGCGUGUGAACCUGUCAUAAUCGCUUGUUCUUCUUGUUAGGUCUUCAAGCAUCCACCGCAAACACGAGGCGCGUCUGCUUCAUCGCAAUGGCCCCGGGUCUGAAACGGAGUCAACCUGGCUAGUAGUGAUGGGCCUGAGGUCGCAGAGGGAAUGUAUGGAGAAGCCACAUCAGGUGUCAUCGGUGAUCGGGCGAAGUGCCCAACGGCCAAGGCACACCAACGGUUCUUUCAAGGAGGAGAGCCAACAAAGGGCGUCAUGGACACAGCCGGUUCGCAGCUCGUAGCAUGGUCGGUACAACGUAUGGAGUGGCGUCUACGCUGGCCCACUGGAAUAGCUGGGCCUGCUCGCUAUCUGAUACCGCGGCCGCCGAGGGGUCCCGUGACGAGCCCACUCGCCGUCACACCACAAGCAGUGUUAAGGAAUUAAGGCGCUUUAUCUCACCGGCUUCACUUUAUCGCCGCCAGCGCCCCUCUGCUCCUUCGGAACAGAGGGGCGCGAGUGCUUGAGAAGGAGUGAGUGCGGUGAAUACCAUAAUCGAAAUAUCUGCGCUCGUUCUCAGGCAUUUUCAAAACUUAUUUCGGUACUAUAUUCUUAGGAUGUAUCAUACUCACUCAAAGGCGGUUUUCAGGCUUCAAAGAAAUGUGGUUCAGGGCACCUUUAACAAAAGGAAAUAUAUUUUAGAAUUGAGAGAUACGUUAUCUUCCACCAACCCCGGGGCAAAAUAAGACAGGUUGAGUAACCAGGUGCAUGGGUCCGCACGCUGGCUUCGUGAGCACCCUCAUUACAGCUCGUGCACAGAAUUCCUACACAGCCUCCACGACUUGCAUACCAAGCACUGGCAGUGCCAUUGGGGGAGAACCAUGUCGAUGGCAGAAUACCUAUUUUUCACAUCCUCGUGCACUCAACUGGUGCGCACGUCUAGGUUUUGUUAAGCUUCCUCUGAUUUCUAGUCUUCAGGGUGAGGGAGACUGCAAAUUUAGUGGGAGCCUUUGCCAAUGAGGUGGGCUUGUUGGAAGAUGGGGUGCGAUGUGACCUCCCUUCUGCGUUAUUUUCUUAGUCUGGUACUGUUGUUGUUACUAGAGAAAUUUCAUGGAAACUAUUAGCACUUUAGCAGGCUUUAGUAGCAGCUUUGAGAAGCGCCUCCGGGGCGUAAACAAAAAACUUGUCAUUUUCGAAAAAAACAUAUCAUCAUCGACAAAGGUUGCACUGGAUGUCUUUCACCUAUAUGGCGGUACUGUCGUUGGCUAAAAUUUGGGACACAUUUAUCUUUUGGGGACGAUUGGCGGCAUGACUGCACUUAACAAUCUAUUUUGCAAUAGCUGUGUAACAUGUAAUAGUAGGUUUUGUACGUUACAAUAAUUAUCAUGAAGAACGGCAUAUACUGAACGACUCGUACUCACUGAUGCAAGGGUGUAAGCUUGCGCAAUGCUGUUAACAGUUCAUGCCGGUGUAACGCGCAGCGAAUGAAUCGCUUUAGGAAAAGUACAGAGCCGAAAGAUGGCUGUUGCUCCUCUGCACAUUUCCUAAAGCCAUUCAUGCGCUGCGCACAACUCAGUUACCAAAGUCAAAGGGUUUCAUUGUAUAGCUCCACAUGUGCAAUGACCGAAAUUGGCGCCACACGUGUUCAUUGACAAGCAGUAGAUAAUCACUGGCGCAAACCCAGUUGCCCUAGUCAGCACGAAAGAAGCUUCUUGAAGAGCGGCGCUUAAACUAUUUCACCUACCCAAUGACUGAAGUUAACGUCAAAGAGGAUCAUUGAUGAGUGGUGCAUACCCAGUGUCACACAACCAUUGACCCAAGCUGUCCGACCGUUGGUCUCAAACCCAAGUCCCGUAAUAGUUAAGUCCAGUGCUUAUGUCAUUCGACCUGCUCCCCACUUCCCACUACCCACUGACGCGAAUCAGCGGGAAUGUGGUCAGCCACGGGCAGACAUAUAGAGAGCCCGCAAACUGGGUAAAGUUUACAAAGCAUGCUAAUUGCAAUAAAUGACAAAAUUGUCAUAAAGGUACCAUAUGAAAAGUGCUCUAUAUAAGUGAUUCUAGGGCUUACGAAAGCCUCCUUGGCGCGUUCUGAACCUGUCUGAAAGUAUUAAUCAAGUGAUUUUAGCAUACUGUAUGUUAAGGCACAUUCAGCAAAAAUAUUGUAAAGGUGUAGCUAUCGUGAACGGAAGCGAUAAAACAAAAACUUUCGUUCAUUUUGAGCAGUACUCGGACACCCUUCUACUUAUUCGAAACAUUUGUUGAUAUGAUUUCUGACCCUUUCGGAAGACAUCAAACGCAUGGGCAUUCAAACCAACCUUGUUUCAUCCAAUAUUGAGUUUAGUCCCACGGCACAUAAUAGUGAAAGUUGCUGGGUAACAAAAAAAAAUUAACGUUAAAGAUAGUGAACAUGCAAAGUUAGUGAAAGCGUAACCUUUAUUGCGCGUUUUUAUAGGAAGUGAAAUGAGUUAUGGCAGGUUCCACAUAAAAAUUGAAGCGCUUUCAUAUGAAUUAGUAUUUCUCGCAGCUUCGGUGAAACUCAAGUGCACUCAUGUCAACGAAAAGCAGGCCAUGGCCAAACCACCUCAGCUACCUUUUGCCUAGGUUGGGCUGUUUUUUUUUCUAUUGACUAUUUUCUGCAGCCGUGGUACGUGCUCGUUUUGAAGUACGCUGAUACCUCACCUGGAUAUCCAGUUUUUCCUCUUUUCGUAUAUUAAACAAAAAUAUCGAGCUGAGAUUGACAAUUUGGCCCGUCUCUCACGCGCACGUUUUCAAUUACCGCGAUAGCAUUGUCACGGCUGCUGUGCUUGUCAUAACACCCUGUUACUGACGCACUCGCAUCGUGGCGACAAUGCUGGAACCUCUGGGGGAAAUUGAAUGUCUUUCGCGAAAUGUACCGGCCGUAGCCUCCAUGUCCAGGUGUUCGUGCUGGUUUUCUCUCGCUUGUGGUUUAUGUAUAACGUACCAAACCAUAGCACGGCUCAUGCAAUUGCGGGUCUGAGUAAAAAUAAGUCGUGUUUUCCUGUUUCAUACGAAGAGAUAUUUUUGUGCUAUCGUAUAGCAUAAGCAUAAGCUGAACCUUAACCACAAGCUCCUGUUGGCGGCGAGGCAGCGCCAAGAGCUUGAAAGUCGUCUUUCGCGAGUAUCCCCCGAGAAGGACGUUGGAGUUGAAGUGCUCUGUGUGAAUUAAAGUUUACUGCCUAUGACUGAUUAGGUAAAUGACAUUGUACUUUUUUAUCUGAGUCAACUUGCUCUAAGAGCUUUGGCAUGCCGACGCUGGAAGUUCUGUCAAUCGUGCGGUUUCCAGCAGAGAAAUAUAAUUAGUGAAGGAGGAACCCCAUACUCAUGAUUUUCCCAUUAUUCAGGCGAUAUAUAGUUCCAGGUUUUUUUAAUUGAUUUGCCACUGUGGAACAUUCUUCUCUAUUUCUCUACUUUUCA